AGUUCAUCGGAGCAUACACAACAU
rnacentral:siRNA from 1 species